AUGGCUGCGCGUGCAAGAAUUUUUGCUGGAGCCCGCAUCCGCACAUGCUACAACCGGCCACAGAAUUGCUGCCACCAGCCACAGCGUCACCGGCGGCCACCGGGCGGCGUUGUCAUGUGCGGGGAACAACCCCCAAUUUCUUUUUGCUACAUCGGUUUUGUUUUUCUGCUGGAAUCAGCAUCAAUUUUUGCUACCACCAUCUCAUUUUUUUGCUGGAACCACGGAUCUUUUUCUGCUACCAUCAUCUUUGGAUUUUUGGUGGAAACGGCCAAUUUUUUUGCUACCAUCGGCUUUGUGUUUUGCUGGAGCCAUCACACAUUUUUUUUGCUACAAACAUGUGGGUUCUGUGCCAGAACUAGAAUUUUUGCUACAACCGUUGUCGAUUUUUGCUACAACUGGCAAUUUUUUUUGCUAUGUUCAAUUCACGGCGGAGCUGCACCCGUCACGGCGACGAUGAUGAUUUUGCUGGAAGCGUCGUUGAUUUUUGCUACAAAUGGCGAAUGCUUUUGCUACGUCCAUUCAUGGCGAGUUACGACCCGCGGCGACGACAACAAUGUUUUUGCUACAACCGUGGAUGCUUUUUGGUACGACCGACAUGUUUAUUUGCUACAUUCGUUUUAUGGUGUGACUCGUGGCCAUUUUGUUCUUGGAAACUCAUGCAGCGAGCGUCGAUAG
rnacentral:rRNA from 1 species